rnacentral:rRNA from 1 species
GAUGAACGCUGGCGGCGUGCCUAAUACAUGCCAGUCGAGCGAACGGACGAGAAGCUUGCUUCUCUGAUGUUAGCGGCGGACGGGUGAGUAACACGUGGAUAACCUACCUAUAAGACUGGGAUAACUUCGGGAAACCGGAGCUAAUACCGGAUAAUAUUUUGAGCCGCAUGGUUCAAAAGUGAAAGACGGUCUUGCUGUCACUUAUAGAUGGAUCCGCGCUGCAUUAGCUAGUUGGUAAGGUAACGGCUUACCAAGGCAACGAUGCAUAGCCGACCUGAGAGGGUGAUCGGCCACACUGGAACUGAGACACGGUCCAGACUCCUACGGGAGGCAGCAGUAGGGAAUCUUCCGCAAUGGGCGAAAGCCUGACGGAGCAACGCCGCGUGAGUGAUGAAGGUCUUCGGAUCGUAAAACUCUGUUAUUAGGGAAGAACAUAUGUGUAAGUAACUGUGCACAUCUUGACGGUACCUAAUCAGAAAGCCACGGCUAACUACGUG